rnacentral:rRNA from 1 species
ACGUUAUUCGGAAUCACUGGGCUUAAAGCGCGUGUAGGCGGCCCGGCACGUCCGUCGCUGAAAUCCCCCGGCUCAACCGGGGAAGGGGCGCGGAUACGACCGGGCUGGAGGGGGGUAGGGGGAUCGGGAACUUCCGGUGGAGCGGUGAAAUGCGUUGAGAUCGGAAGGAACGCCCGCGGCGAAAGCGCGGUCCUGGACCCCACCUGACGCUGAGACGCGAAAGCCAGGGGAGCGAACGGG